UAAUGAGUAGUUUAAAUAAAACAGUAGGUUGUGGUUCUACAGAUAGGAUUAUUGACUCUCAUUAG
rnacentral:tRNA from 1 species